rnacentral:lncRNA from 1 species
GGGAGAAUCGCUUGAACCCGGGAGGGGGAGGUUGUAGUGAGCUGAGAUUGUGCCACUGCACUCCAGCCUGGGCAACAGAGCAAGACUCCGUCUCAAAAAAAAAAAAAAAAAAAAAAAAAAAAAAAAGUGGUUGUGUUCUGACGGCUCUGCUCUCAUGAAUGCAUUAGUCCAUUAAUGGGUUAAUGGGUAAAUGAGUAACAGGUUAUCAUGGUGGUGGCAUUAAUGGCUUUAUAAGAGGAGAAAGAGACACCUGGGCUAGCACACUCAGCCCCUCACGUGAUACCCUGUGCUGCAGAGAGUCCCCACCAGCAGGAAGGCCCUCAUCAGAUGUGGUGCCUUAACCUUAGAUUUCUCAGCCUCCAUAAUGGAAGAAAUAAAUUCCCUUUCUUUACAAAUGACCCGGCCUCAGGAAUUCUGUUAUAAGCAACAGAAAAUGGACAAAGACAAUAGCAUUAUUUAGUGAGAUAAAUUCACAGCAGUGUGUAGUAAAAUGAAUGUUUCUCCUUGGUGAUGGAAUCCUAAUUUUAGAAAAUUGUUUUUCCAAGUGUGAGGGGAAAUAUUGUGCCUUAUCCUCCUUCCUGUCAUGCAGUCAUAAUGGCUGGUGCUUCAGCACCAUUUUGGCCCAUAAGGUACUUCACAAAGGAUGGCAGAGCAGGAAAAUGGUUACUUAGUAAGCAGGUAUAGAAACUUGUGUGCCAGGACUUGCCUUUAGUGUUUUAAAAAUAUUAACCCAUUUUGUCCUCAUAGCAACCACAUGAGGUAAUAAGGUCUACUGUUCUCAAGUCCAUCCUAUAUUUGUCCUUUCUUGCAUUGCUAUAAAGAAAUAACUGAGGCAGGGCACCACAGUGGCUCACGUCUGUAGUCCUAGCACUUUGGGAAGCUGAGGUGGGUGGACUGCCUGAGUUCAGUUCCAGACAAGCCUGGGCAACAGGGUGAAACCCCGUCUCUACUAAAAUACAAAAAAUUAGCUGGGUGUGGUGGUGGGUGCCUGUAAUCCCAGCUACUUGGGUGGCUGAGACAGUAGAAUCGUUUGAACCCAGGAGGUGAAGUUUGCAGUGAACUCACAUCAUGCCAUUGCACUCCAGCCUGGGCAACAGAGCAAGACUCCAUCUCAAAAAAAAAAAAAUCCCCAAAACCCCAAAAAUUAGCUGGGUGUGAUGGUGUGCACCUGUAGUCCCAGCUAGUCAGGAGGCUGAGGCAGGAGAAUCGCUUGAACCCAGGAGGCAGAGGUUGCAGUGAGCUGAGAUAGCACCAUUGAACUCCAGCCAGUGUGACAAGAGCAAAACUGUCUCAAAAAAAUUAAAUAAUAGAUACUGCAUUAUUUGGGUAUUUUCCAAUAAAUAUAUAUUGUAGGAAAACAUUUUUGCUAAAAAAAACUGUGUCCUUUUUAGAAAAGGUAAACAAGUUUUGUCUAAUUCAAAAUUUAUUUAAAUGUUAUGUAUACAACAGGGUAAAAGGAAUCAGGAAAUAAAAACAGAGAUAAAGUUAUAAAAAUAGUUUUUUUUUGUCAUAAGAAAGCUUAAAGAGAAAUAAUUUUUUUAUGGUAAAUUUAGUCCUAAAAUAAAAUGACUGGUUGUUUAAGAAGGAGGAAUAUUCAGGACAAAACAAAGUCCAAGCAUGUCAUGAACAGUCAGUGUUAAGUCUCAAUAAGAGGAUAUAUGUAUUAAAAAAAACCUGAAACUUUAAUAUGAUCAAGUUGUCAUUAUUAAGUUUUGGUUUGCUUAGGAAAAAAAACUGGGAUAAAAAUUUUUUAAAUUAAGUUUAUUACAUCCACGUAUCUUCCUGUAUGUGCUUUUAAAGUGCUUGUGACACUGAAUUACAGGGCUUUGACUCCUGGGUCUAAAAAGGACACCUAGUCCUGCUAAGUCUUAAACAUUGACAGCAAUUGAAGCCUCAUCUACAGGCCCAUAGAAGAUGCCAGUCAAAAUAAACUCAUUCCUGAGACACAGAGUAAAAAAUUAAAGCUGUUCAACUCCUCAAGGCCCAGAGACUAUUGUGGAAGAGGUGGGUGCAUGAGAUUGUAAGAGCGAAUUUUGAAAGAUAAAAUAAGUUCAAUUUAUCUAUAAAUUAAUCAUUAAUAUCAAAGGUACACUGAUGCAAGACAAGCAUUUGGGCCCCUGUGUCAGAUUAACAAGGUUUUCUUGAAGCAUUAACUGGCUCUUUAAUAAAGGUUAUAAAGGGUAUAAAAGGCAUACGAAGCUAUAUCUUAUGAUCAAGAUUAAAAUUUUAUAGAUUGUUUAUAAAAUUUUGAACAACAAAUUUAAUUAGAUUCAUGCUGUUUUUAUUAGGGAUUAUUGUUUGGAAAAUUAAGUCUCCUCUCUCAAAGAAUAAAGGUUUUCACCUUUUUCCUGAAAUCCUUGUUAUCACUUUGGUUAAGUGAAUGACUUAUUUUAUUUUUAUUGAAAUGGAGUCUUGCUCUGUUGCCCAGGCUGGAGUGCAGUGGUGCAAUCUCAGCUUACCGCAACCUCCAACUUAUGGGUUCAAGCAAUUCUCCUGCCUCAACCUCCGAGUAGCUGGGACUACAGGUGUCCACCACCACACCAAGCUACUUUCUGUAUUUUUGGUAGAGAUGGGGUUUCGCCGUGUUGGCCAGGCUGGUCUUGAACUCCUGACCUUGGGUGAUCUGCCCACUUCAGCCUCCCAAAGUGCUGGGAUUACAGGCAUGAGCUACCAUGCCCAGCAUGAAUGACUUACAAUGACCUGGGAUCCUACUUUGUGAUAUCAAGUGUCUUAAACCUUUCAUAUUUGACAAACUUUCCAAAAUCAAAUGAUAAAUUAUGUCUUUUUCUGACCUAAUUAAUCCUUUAAGAUAUUAGGUUCCCUAAAGUCCAAACAAUGACAUAAUUUGGUUUAUUUAGUACAAAAAGUAUACAGGAAGCAUUGUCAAAUAUGAAAUGGUGUUGGGUUUUCUUUGGGCUGUAUUUGUAUAAAUACGUUAUUGGUAUGUAUUCCAAAAUUUUGGGAAACUCCUAUAAUUCUGAUAUAACUUAGUGUACAUUAUCAGAAAUAAUCAUAAUUGUUAUGUUAAAAUUAUUGUGUGCCAUAGAGGUAACAAGUUUCCUUGUCAAUUGUGUCUUUGACUAUGGCUGUCCUAAAAUUUUUUGUCAUUCAUGAACAAUUGUCUUAUUUUGGUCCUAUUAAAAUGAUGGUUUUAUAAUCAGCUAUAAAACUCUAACAGGUGCUCUUCAAUGCAGGUUUCUGAUAACUUUGGAGAUUGUGACAUCAGAAUAGAGGAAAAGCUUUCAGGACUCAUAGAGAGCUAAAAUGUUCAUGAGUAUCAAGCAGAACAGGAAUUACCUGUAUGGACUGAACUAAUCUUUUUGACUUUUUGCUUAAAAUGUUUGCUGAUCCUUUGUUUUGUUUUUCAGAGUCUUAAGACUUUUCUUUUAAACUAUUGACAGCUUUUAACAAUUUAGUAUACUUUUAACAAUUUGGUAUACUCAUUACAGAAAAUAAUGUUUUUAAAUUGUUUUCCUUCUUUUUUUCAAUUUUUUUUCUAAUUUGGAAUCACUGAAAACUAAGCUGUUUUUUCUUAAAGCCCUGUGAACUGAAACCAGAUAACUUAAACUUCAGAAGAAAGUAACAGCAACAUAUUUACAUACAUAAGCCACUUUCAUACCUGCCUACUGAUGUAUAGACUUCAGAGUAAUGUGGCCUAUAUGAAUUUUUCAGGAUUGUUCUUUUGUUUGUUGUUGUUUUUCUCCCUUCCUCCCCCUAUUUUCUCUUCACAGGACAUGAGACUUCAUAACAUGCUGAAAAGGAGCUUUUGGGACCUGCCCAUCUAGGAAUAAACUGUCCUAGCCAUAAGAAAUCACAUAAAACCUAAGAUCAGAGAUCCAUUUUCUUCUAAACUGCUUUCUCCAAAAGAUUUUAAAGACGAAAAGGGGGGAAAUGUGAAAGGAAAAUAUCUUGGGCCCCUAAAAUCCCUAAAAACUAGAAGGAAAAUUCAAGCUGGAAACUGCUCAGUGCAAACCUACCUUUCAUUGUAUUCAAAGUCACCCCUCUGCUCACUGAGAUAGAUGCAUAUCUGAUUGUCUCCUUUGGAAAGGCUUAUCAGAAACUCAAAAUAAUGCAACCAUUUGUCUCUCACCUACCUGUGACAUGGAAGUCUUUUAAAUGCUUGCUCCCGGUGCCAUAAAGAAAUAGCACUUGGACAUAAUUUAAUUUAUUUAGUAAGGCCAUUUUUACUUCCUGUAGAAAAGGUACACUCACCAGCAGUUUUGCCAUGAGAGUACACCGAACAAAGGAGACAGGGUCAUUUAUAACCUGACGCAUCCACCCUACUGUUGUGUCUGGUUUCCAUUGGCUGGAACAGGACCUCACAUUCUGUAUUUGUCCCGACUGGCUAGCACCUUAGAACUUUUUUAAAGAGGCAAAGGCAGAGGAGAACAAAGGAAGGAGGAAGUAACUUGUGGAAUGCUGAGAAAGGUAAAAAAAACUUUUAAAUAAGGAAGAGGAACAGGCUAUGACCUAAUGCUUGCUUGGACCAGUAUAAGCAUGCCAGGGCAAAUAUUUAGGAGCAUAGGUCUUUGAAUAAAUUUUGCUUCUAAGAGAAGUUACUAUUUAUUCCUAGUUACAUGGGGAGGAAAGUCUUUGAAGAGGAACCUCUACUUUUACUUUUUACAGAAGCCUUUGCCUUUCUGGAUGGAACCAGUGUACUUCUUACACAUAUUGAUUAAUGUCUUACGUCUCCCUAAAAUGUAUAAAACCAAGCUGUGCCCUGACCACCUUGGGCACAUGUCAUCAGGACUUCCUGAGGCUGUGUCACAGGCGUGUGCCCUUAACUUUGGCAAAUAAAUUUCCUAAAAUGAGAUUUGUCUCGUCAUUUUUCUCUAUUGACGACUAUACACCUGAAUGUAGGGUCAGCUGAGAGAAAGGACAAGCCAGAGAGACCCAAGUUCAGUCAAGCCUUGAUUAACCUGCCGGCUGCUCCAUUACAGACAGAGGAGGCAGCCCUGAGCUUGCAAAAUGAGGGGUUUAUAUGGGGGAUAGAGACCCUGGGGUCGUUUGUUGGUUAACUUUGCCAUAUAUCACCUUAUGACGUUUAUGGUAGCAGCUAGAUGAAGGAACUUACAGGAGGGUGUAGGUAAAGUUUGUUUAUGCUUCCCAGGACCUCCCACUGUGGGGUACGGAUGGUUUGUAAUUGGGGUUUGUUUAUCGUAGCAAGGCCUGAUAGGUAAAGUCUGCUGGCUUCACCACGGUGCCUAGAUAAGGGCUUAAAAAUGUAAAAAGCUUUCAGGGA